rnacentral:rRNA from 1 species
AAAAGGGUCUCGUUGGUGACCAGCGGAGGGACAUUACCGAGUUUACAACUCCCAAACCCAAUGUGAACGUUACCAAACUGUUGCCUCGGCGGGGUCACGCCCCGGGUGCGUCGCAGCCCCGGAACCAGGCGCCCGCCGGAGGAACCAACCAAACUCUUUCUGUAGUCCCCUCGCGGACGUAUUUCUUACAGCUCUGAGCAAAAAUUCAAAAUGAAUCAAAACUUUCAACAACGGAUCUCUUGGUUCUGGCAUCGAUGAAGAACGCAGCGAAAUGCGAUAAGUAAUGUGAAUUGCAGAAUUCAGUGAAUCAUCGAAUCUUUGAACGCACAUUGCGCCCGCCAGUAUUCUGGCGGGCAUGCCUGUCCGAGCGUCAUUUCAACCCUCGAACCCCUCCGGGGGAUCGGCGUUGGGGAUCGGGACCCCUCACACGGGUGCCGGCCCCGAAAUACAGUGGCGGUCUCGCCGCAGCCUCUCCUGCGCAGUAGUUUGCACAACUCGCACCGGGAGCGCGGCGCGUCCACGUCCGUAAAACACCCAACUUUCUGAAAUGUUGACCUCGGAUCAGGUAGGAAUACCCGCUGAACUUAAGCAUAUCAAUAAGCGGAGGA